AUUGAACGCUGGCGGCAGGCCUAACACAUGCAAGUCGAACGGCAGCACAGAAGAGCUUGCUCUUUGGGUGGCGAGUGGCGGACGGGUGAGUAAUGUCUGGGAAACUGCCCGAUGGAGGGGGAUAACUACUGGAAACGGUAGCUAAUACCGCAUAACGUCGCAAGACCAAAGUGGGGGACCUUCGGGCCUCACACCAUCGGAUGUGCCCAGAUGGGAUUAGCUAGUAGGUGGGGUAACGGCUCACCUAGGCGACGAUCCCUAGCUGGUCUGAGAGGAUGACCAGCCACACUGGAACUGAGACACGGUCCAGACUCCUACGGGAGGCAGCAGUGGGGAAUAUUGCACAAUGGGCGCAAGCCUGAUGCAGCCAUGCCGCGUGUAUGAAGAGGCCUUCGGGUUGUAAAGUACUUCCAGCGGGGAGGAAGGCGAUGUGGUUAAUAACCGCGUCGAUUGACGUUACCCGCAGAAGAAGCACCGGCUAACUCCGUGCCAGCAGCCGCAGUAA
rnacentral:rRNA from 1 species